GAUGAAGAACGUAGCGAAAUGCGAUAAGUAAUGUGAAUUGCAGAAUUCAGUGAAUCAUCGAAUCUUUGAACGCACAUUGCGCCCGCCAGUAUUCUGGCGGGCAUGCCUGUUCGAGCGUCAUUUCAACCCUCAGGCCCCGCCUGGCGUUGGGGAUCGGCGCGGCCCUCUCCGGGCUGCCGGCCCCGAAAACUAGUGGCGGUAUCGCUGUAGUCCUCCUCUGCGCAGUAGCAACGCUCGCACUGGAACUCGGCGCGGCCACGCCGUAAAACACCCCACUUCUGAAAGUUGACCUCGGAUCAGGUAGGAAUACCCGCUGAACUUAAGCAUAUCAAUAAGCGGAGGA
rnacentral:misc_RNA from 1 species